AGAGUUUGAUCCUGGCUCAGGAUGAACGCUGGUGGCGUGCUUAACACAUGCAAGUCGAACGAUCCUUCGGGAUAGUGGCGGACGGGUGAGUAACGCGUGGGAAUCUGCCCUCAGGAGGGGGAUAACGGCUGGAAACGGCCGCUAAUACCCCAUAUGCCGAGAGGUGAAAUGAAUUUCGCCUGAGGAUGAGCCCGCGUCUGAUUAGCUAGUUGGUGGGGUAAAGGCCUACCAAGGCAACGAUCAGUAGCUGGUCUGAGAGGAUGAUCAGCCACACUGGGACUGAGACACGGCCCAGACUCCUACGGGAGGCAGCAGUGGGGAAUUUUCCGCAAUGGGCGAAAGCCUGACGGAGCAACGCCGCGUGAGGGAUGAAGGCCUCUGGGCUGUAAACCUCUUUUCUCAAGGAAGAAGACCUGACGGUACUUGAGGAAUAAGCCACGGCUAAUUCCGUGCCAGCAGCCGCGGUAAUACGGGAGUGGCAAGCGUUAUCCGGAAUUAUUGGGCGUAAAGCGUCCGCAGGCGGCCUUGUAAGUCUGUUGUUAAAGCGUGGAGCUCAACUCCAUUUAAGCAAUGGAAACUACAAGGCUGGAGUGUGGUAGGGGCAGAGGGAAUUCCCGGUGUAGCGGUGAAAUGCGUAGAUAUCGGGAAGAACACCAGUGGCGAAGGCGCUCUGCUGGGCCAUAACUGACGCUCAUGGACGAAAGCCAGGGGAGCGAAAGGGAUUAGAUACCCCUGUAGUCCUGGCCGUAAACGAUGAACACUAGGUGUCGGGGGAAUCGACCCCCUCGGUGUCGUAGCCAACGCGUUAAGUGUUCCGCCUGGGGAGUACGCACGCAAGUGUGAAACUCAAAGGAAUUGACGGGGGCCCGCACAAGCGGUGGAGUAUGUGGUUUAAUUCGAUGCAACGCGAAGAACCUUACCAGGGUUUGACAUCCUGCGAACCCCUGAGAAAUCGGGGGGUGCCUUCGGGAGCGCAGAGACAGGUGGUGCAUGGCUGUCGUCAGCUCGUGUCGUGAGAUGUUGGGUUAAGUCCCGCAACGAGCGCAACCCACGUCUUUAGUUGCCAGCAUUCAGUUGGGCACUCUAGAGAGACCGCCGGUGAUAAACCGGAGGAAGGUGUGGAUGACGUCAAGUCAUCAUGCCCCUUACAUCCUGGGCUACACACGUACUACAAUGCUACGGACAAAGGGCAGCAAGCUCGCGAGAGUUAGCAAAUCCCAUAAACCGUGGCUCAGUUCAGAUCGUAGGCUGCAACUCGCCUACGUGAAGGAGGAAUCGCUAGUAAUCGCAGGUCGGCAUACUGCGGUGAAUACGUUCCCGGGCCUUGUACACACCGCCCGUCACACCAUGGAAGUUGGCCAUGCCCGAAGUCGUUACUCCAACCCUUGUGGAGGAGGACGCCGAAGGUGGGGCUGAUGACUGGGGUGAAGUCGUAACAAGGUA
rnacentral:rRNA from 1 species